rnacentral:tRNA from 1 species
GCCUUCGUGGUGUAGUGGUCAGCACACUCGGCACGUAUUCGGGAUGUCCGUGGUUCGAAUCCCGGCGAGGUCA